GCAGUCUUGGGGACUUGAGUAUAUUACCUUUAUGCUUUACCAUUUAACUUGCCAUUUUCCCUAGCACAAAAGCCUUUAGGCUGCUUCAGAUUUCUUUAGUUUCACAAGUUAGGUGAACAGUUCCAGCCCCGUGUACUUUGGCUAUAGUCAUAUAGUCAUUUUGUUGGAUAAAAAAAACCUCCUCCUGUCCUUGUAAAGUUAGGAAUUUGGUAAUCUAACUCUGAAACAAUAGCUCAGCGUGAACCUAAAGUGCUGGGGGAUUUCCUAGGGAAAGGGGCUUAGCCGACAGGAUAAGAAACGGUAACUGGAAGGUUUCCGGA
rnacentral:lncRNA from 1 species